CCCAGCGACACCGCCUUGCUGCCUCUCCUCUCCGGGGUAAAACUUGCAAAGCAGAUUUAUAGAGUACCAAGGAAAGAGCUAACUUUAUACUUAGAUAUCCGAGAUAACUCUGAACAUGUUGUGCCAGCAACCAUUGGAAUUUACACCCCUUUGUCAACUUUAGACAAUAACUCCAGAUGGGAUCUGGGAGCUUUGUAAAGCACUUCCUGAAAAUCUGAAGAAAUCCAGCCAAAUGUAUCCCUGAUGUGAAGCCACUGGUAAUAAUGGAGAUGCAACAAGAAUAAACAUUGGUUUGGUGCCCACUAA